AUACCAUGAUGUGGACACUUCCUUAACAAUUCUUUAAAUCUUUUCCAUGCAUCAUACAAUGAUUCCCCUUCUGUCUGGUAGAAAUUAUUGAUUUUCCCUCUCAACUU